GAGACCGAACCUGGCUGUGGACUUGACGCUCAACCUUUGGUCAAGGGCUUAAGAAAAUCGGGAUUUCCUUGUAUACAGGGAAGGCUCUGGAAUUUUCCUUAUUCUCCUGGCUUCGAGGAAUUCUCAGGGCAUUCGUCUAGAAAUCAGUCAGAAGAUUGUGUGAAGUCAGUCACUCGGGUCAGCCUAACAAGGUUUCUCUCAUCCUUCCUUGAAAAGAAUGAUUUAGCCUAUCAGAGUGGGACAAAUGCUGGAUUCCAGUUUAGCCAACGAAAUAUAAGUGACUGUCUGCUGGGAAACUUCUGGAAGGGUUUUACUUCCCAAAUAAAAGAAGAUGGAUGCCAGUAACAUA